rnacentral:rRNA from 1 species
AACGAACGCUGGCGGCAGGCUUAACACAUGCAAGUCGAGCGCCCCGCAAGGGGAGCGGCAGACGGGUGAGUAACGCGUGGGAAUCUACCUUUUGCUACGGAAUAACUCAGGGAAACUUGUGCUAAUACCGUAUGUGCCCUUCGGGGGAAAGAUUUAUCGGCAAAGGAUGAGCCCGCGUUGGAUUAGCUAGUUGGUGGGGUAAAGGCCCACCAAGGCGACGAUCCAUAGCUGGUCUGAGAGGAUGAUCAGCCACACUGGGACUGAGACACGGCCCAGACUC